AUUGAACGCUGGCGGCAGGCCUAACACAUGCAAGUCGAGCGGAUGAAGGGAGCUUGCUCCUGGAUUCAGCGGCGGACGGGUGAGUAAUGCCUAGGAAUCUGCCUGGUAGUGGGGUAUAACGUCCUGAAACGGGCGCUAAUACCGCAUACGUCCUGAGGGAGAAAGUGGGGGGUCUUCGGACCGCACGCUAUCAGAGGAGCCUAGGUGGGAUUAGCUAGUUGGUGGGGUAAAGGCCUACCAAGCCGACGAUCGGUAACUGGUCUGAGAGGAUGAUCAGUCACACUGGAACUGAGACACGGUCAAGAGUACUACGGGAGGCAGCAGUGGGGAACAUUGGACAGUGGGCGAAAGCCUGAUCCAGCCAUGCCGCGUGUGUGAAGAAGGUCUUGGGAUUGUAAAGCACGUUAAGUUGGGAGGAAGGGCAGUAAGUUAAUACCUUGCUGGUGUGACGUUACCAACAGAAUAAGCACCGGCUAACUUCGUG
rnacentral:rRNA from 1 species